AGUGAACGCUGGCGGUAGGCCUAACACAUGCAAGUCGAACGGUAACACGAUGAAGGUUGGUGCUUUGGUGUGGAGUGUCGGACAGGUGUGAAGUGUAUGGGAGACUGUAUGUUGGCGGGGGAUAACUCCUGGGAAAGGUAGCUAUUACCGCAUAACGUCGCUAGCCGAGAGAGGGGGACCUUUGCGGCCCUUGCGCUAUGGUGUGAGCAGAUGGGAUUAGCUCGUUUGUGGGGGAACGGCCCACCCAGGCGACGAUCCCUAGCUGGUCUGAGAGGAUGAGCAGCCACACUGGAACUGAGACACGGUCCAGACUCCUACGGGAGGCAGCAGUGGGGAAUAUUGGACAAUGGGCGCAAGCCUGAUACAGCCAUACCGCGUGGGUGAAGAAGGCCUUCGGGUUGUAAAGUCCUUUCGGUGGGGAAGAAGAGAAGAAGGUUAAUACCUCGCCGCACUGACGGUACCCACAGAAUAAGCACCGGCUAACUUCGUG
rnacentral:rRNA from 1 species